GCGGAGGAAAAGAAAAUAACAAUGAUUUCCCUAGUAACGGCGAGUGAAGAGGAAAGAGCUCAAAGUUGGAACCUGUUUGGCUUAGCUAAACCGGAUUGUAAACUGUAGAAGUGUUUUCCAGGCACGCCAGGUAAAAAAGUCCUUUGGAACAGGGCAUCAUAGAGGGUGAGAAUCCCGUCUUUGGCCUGAGCAGUUGUCUUUUGUGAUACACUUUCAAAGAGUCAGGUUGUUUGGGAAUGCAGCCUAAAUUGGGUGGUAAAUCUCACCUAAAGCUAAAUAUUUGCGAGAGACCGAUAGCGAACAAGUACCGUGAGGGAAAGAUGAAAAGAACUUUGAAAAGAGAGUUAAACAGUAUGUGAAAUUGUUAAAAGGGAACCGUUUGGAGCCAGACUGGCUUGACUGUAAUCAAUCUAGGCUUCGGCCUGGAUGCACUUGCGGUCUAUGCCUGCCAACGACAAUUUUUUCUCUGGGAAAAAACUAUUAGGAAUGUGGCCCCUCGGGGUGUUAUAGCCUUUUAGAAAAUACCAGGGAUUGGAUUGAGGAACGCAGUGAAUGCUCUUAGGGGCAAGAUUGCUGGGUGCUUUCGCUAAUAGAUGCUAGAAUUUCUGCUUCGGGUGGUGCUAGUGUUUAAAGGAGGAACUCGCCUGGUAUAUUUUUUAUUCGCUUAGGUUGUUGGCUUAAUGACUCUAAAUGAC
rnacentral:rRNA from 1 species